UUAGAAACAUUUGUAAGAAAGAGGACAAACCAAAUUUUAAUUUCAUUUUCCUAAUCACCAUUACAUCUUGCACAGUAGAUAAGAGUCAUUGCAAUACACGACAACCUUCAUUUUUGGAAACAAGACAUCAUCGAAACAAAGAAAAAUUCCAAUUCUCGAGUGGGUUUGGAAAAUUCAAUUUAUUGUACCAGAGAAUUCACGUCCUUAAUAACUUAAAAUACAAAUUGAAACUGACAAUUCCCAUACAGAAACCUCAAACAAGCUAUAGAUCACAUCUAAAAUACAAUAUUCCUCCUCUUCUACUUGGUUGAAGGUGUCGUCUCUUGCUUCCUUGUCUGUGUCUUGUGGAAUCGAUCCUGCAGGAUCAAAACAUGAAAAUAUAAGAUCAAGAAAGUGGAAUGCAACAGUCUUCUAAUUAACAUUAGAAAUCAAUGCAGGUCCUAACUCACAACUAGAUUGAACAAUGAGAUGCAGUAGCUAAACCUUCCUAAAGACACUUUUUAAAGCUCAGAAUAAGUGGUUCGUAAAGAGCAUUUUGUCAAAGCUACACACUUUGACUGCUAUGUAAUUUUUUUUGAAUAAAAUAUGAAAGGAAGUUUCCAAUUGAUCUUCAAUAAA
rnacentral:lncRNA from 1 species